CCGGGAUGUUCAUAACCCUUUGUUGUCCGACUCUGUUGCCUCCGGGGCGACCCUGCCUUCGGGCGGGGGCUCCGGGUGGACACUUCAAACUCUUGCGUAACUUUGCAGUCUGAGUAAACUUAAUUAAUAAAUUAAAACUUUUAACAACGGAUCUCUUGGUUCUGGCAUCGAUGAAGAACGCAGCGAAAUGCGAUAAGUAAUGUGAAUUGCAGAAUUCAGUGAAUCAUCGAAUCUUUGAACGCACAUUGCGCCCCCUGGUAUUCCGGGGGGCAUGCCUGUUCGAGCGUCAUUUCACCACUCAAGCCUCGCUUGGUAUUGGGCAACGCGGUCCGCCGCGUGCCUCAAAUCGACCGGCUGGGUCUUCUGUCCCCUAAGCGUUGUGGAAACUAUUCGCUAAAGGGUGCUCGGGAGGCUACGCCGUAAAACAAACCCAUUUCUAAGGUUGACCUCGGAUCAGGUAGGGAUACCCGCUGAACUUAAGCAUAUCAAUAAGCGGAGGA
rnacentral:rRNA from 1 species